rnacentral:rRNA from 1 species
CAGCCGCCGCGUUAAUACCGGCGGCCCGAGUGGCGGCCACUAUUAUUGGGCUUAAAGCGUCCGUAGCCGGGUUGGUUAGUCUCCCGGGAAAUCUGGCCGCUUAACGGUCAGAAUUCCGGGAGAUACUGCCAGCCUAGGGACCGGGAGAGGCCGAGGGUAUUCCCGGAGUAGGGGUGAAAUCCUAUAAUCCCGGGAGGACCACCUGUGGCGAAGGCGCUCGGCUGGAACGGGUCCGACGGUGAGGGACGAAGGCCAGGGGAGCAAACCGGAGUAGAUACCCGGGUAGUCCUGGCUGUAAACGAUGCGGACUUUGUGUCGGACAAGCUAUGAGCUUGUCCGGUGCCGGAGGGAAACCGUUAAGUCCGCCGCCUGGGGAGUACGGCCGCAAGGCUGAAACUUAAAGGAAUUGGCGGG